rnacentral:lncRNA from 1 species
UCGUGAAUGAGCAUGAGCAGAGCGUCCUAUUGGAGCAACGCUCUCUGCUCUUUCGCGUUCUUGCACCUCCUCUUGAAUUUGGUCUCAUCGAAUCCGAUUGCUGCCAUUUCUAUGUUGCAUUUGAGUACCUGCUGCAUCGUAUCCGACUUGGCCUGCAUCCUUCUUUGAUUGCGCUGCUUCCAUAUGUGUGUGAAAUAGAAAGAAGAGUUAGCCUGCCAAAAUUCAAAACAUUUAAAUUAAAAAAAUCAGGAAACGGGUCAAACCCAACAACCCAAGUAAAGAUCCAAUUAAAUUAAAAGAGGAGGCAGUUGAAAGGCGGAAGAUAUAAAAAGGAGAGGCAGUGAAAGAAGUUACUGGAAAAGAUUUUCCUUUUGCAUUUGUGAAUUUUUCUGCUUUCUGAUUCCCAGCAGUUUGAUCUUGGUGUUCCAGAUGGGUGGCAGUUGUCAAAGAAAUGAUAUUUUCAUCUCUAAAAUAGUACGAUGAUUAUACUCACAAACGGUCCAAAAAAUUACAUUGGUCUGAGAUGAACCGUGCAUCAUUGAGCGUUUUUAAGAAGGACUAUUCUGAUAUUUGUUUUUUAUACUACAUUAUCACUUUUGAAACUAUCUUUGGUUUAUUCAAUAGUAUGAAAUAAUGGAUAAUGUUUGUGUGACCUCAAUUGUAGACCAU